rnacentral:rRNA from 1 species
GACGAACGCUGGCGGCGUGCCUAAUACAUGCAAGUUGAGCGCUGAAGGUUGGUACUUGUACCAACUGGAUGAGCAGCGAACGGGUGAGUAACGCGUGGGGAAUCUGCCUUUGAGCGGGGGACAACAUUUGGAAACGAAUGCUGAUACCGCAUAAAAACUUUAAACACAAGUUUUAAGUUUGAAAGAUGCAAUUGCAUCACUCAAAGAUGAUCCCGCGUUGUAUUAGCUAGUUGGUGAGGUAAAGGCUCACCAAGGCGAUGAUACAUAGCCGACCUGAGAGGGGGAUCGGCCACAUUGGGACUGGAAAACGGCCCAAACUCCUACGGGGGGCGGCAGAGGGGAAUCUUCGGCAAUGAACGAAAGUCUGCCCGGAGAACCCCGCGUGGGUGAAAAAGGUUUUGGGAUCGAAAAACUCUGUUGGAAGAGAAGAACGUUGGUGGGAGUGGAAAGCUCAUCAGGGAACGGAAACAACCAAAAAGGGGACGGCUAAUUACGG